GACGAACGCUGGCGGCGCGCUUAACACAUGCAAGUCGAGCGAUGAAACUUUAACAGCCCCCUUCGGGGCGUAGAUAAAGUGGAUUAGCGGCGGACGGGUGAGUAACACGUGAGUAACCUGCCUUAGACAUUGGGAUAGCCUCGGGAAACCGGGAUUAAUACCAAAUAAAAUCAUAAUGACACAUGUCAUAACUAUCAAGACUCAGGUGGUCUAAGAUGGACGCGCGUCCCAUUAGCUAGUUGGUAGGGGAAAAGCCCACCAAGGCGACGAUGGGUAGCCGGCAAGAGAGGGUGGACGGCCACAGUGAAGCUGAGAAGCAGUACAAACUCCUACGGAAUGAGGCAGUGGGUAAUAUUGCACAAUGGAGUGGACUCUGAUGCAGCGAGGCAGGGAAAACGAAGAUGGCUUGGGAGUCGAAAAGUUCUUUUAUAUGGGAAGAUAAUGACGGUACCUAAAGAAAAAGCCACGGCUAACUACGUG
rnacentral:rRNA from 1 species